rnacentral:rRNA from 1 species
AAACUGGAGAGUUUGAUCCUGGCUCAGAGCGAACGUUUGCGGCGGGCCUAACACAUGCAAGUCGAACGAGAACUCGCUCUUCGGAGUGGGGGAAAGUGGCGCACGGGUGCGUAACACGUGGGUAAUCAACCCUUUGGACUGGGACAACCCGGGGAAACUCGGGCUAAUACCGGAUGUGUCGUGGGAGACCUCGGUCUCCCCCGGGAAAGGCCCGCAAGGGCUACCAAAGGACGAGCUCGCGGCCCAUCAGCUUGUUGGCGAGGUAAUGGCUCACCAAGGCUAAGACGGGUAGCUGGUCUGAGAGGAUGAUCAGCCACACUGGAACUGAGACACGGUCCAGACUCCUACGGGAGGCAGCAGUGGGGAAUAUUGCGCAAUGGGCGAAA